rnacentral:rRNA from 1 species
UUGAAAGGGAAACGAUUGAAGUCAGUCGUACUAACGGGGAAUCAACCUUUUGAGGGUGGACUUGUGGGAUUCAGAGAGCCUUUGUCUUUCACAACCUGCUUUUUUUGGGUGCAAUUUGUCGUAUUGUAGGUCAGCAUCGGUUUCGACCGUUAUAAAAUGACUGGAGGAAUGUAGCUUCGAUCUCGUAUUGAAGUGUUAUAGCCUUUGGUAGAUGUAACGGAUGGGAUCGAGGAUUGCAAUGAAUGCCCUCAUGGGCUAUCCGCCUGGCCUCUGACAUGUCACUCUGGCACCGAAAGCUUGCUUAUGGUGUUAUAGUGUACGGUCAAAAGGUUAGAACGGAAUAAAUUCGUUAAGGAUGUUGACGUA